rnacentral:rRNA from 1 species
CCUACGGGAGGCAGCAGUGAGGAAUAUUGGUCAAUGGCCGGAAGGCUGAACCAGCCAAGCCGCGUGAAGGACGAAGGUGCCAAGCAUUGUAAACUUCUUUUGUCAAGGGACAAAAUCAGGCUCGAGAGCCUGACCGAGGGUACUUGAAGAAAAAGCAUCGGCUAACUCCGUGCCAGCAGCCGCGGUAAUACGGAGGAUGCGAGCGUUAUCCGGAUUUAUUGGGUGUAAAGGGAGCGUAGACGGUUAAUCAAGUCAGAAGUGAAAACCCAGGGCUCAACCUUGGGACUGCUUUUGAAACUGAGUAGCUAGAGUGCAGGAGAGGUAAGCGGAAUUCCUAGUGUAGCGGUGAAAUGCGUAGAUAUUAGGAGGAACACCAGUGGCGAAGGCGGCUUACUGGACUGUAACUGACGUUGAGGCUCGAAAGCGUGGGGAGCAAACAGGAUUAGAUACCCUUGUAGUC